rnacentral:rRNA from 1 species
CCUACGGGAGGCAGCAGUGGGGAAUAUUGGACAAUGGGCGAAAGCCUGAUCCAGCAAUGCCGCGUGAGUGAUGAAGGCCUUAGGGUUGUAAAGCUCUUUUACCAGGGAUGAUAAUGACAGUACCUGGAGAAUAAGCUCCGGCUAACUCCGUGCCAGCAGCCGCGGUAAUACGGAGGGAGCUAGCGUUGUUCGGAAUUACUGGGCGUAAAGCGUACGUAGGCGGUUAUUCAAGUCAGAGGUGAAAGCCCGGGGCUCAACCCCGGAACUGCCUUUGAAACUAGAUAGCUAGAAUCUUGGAGAGGUUAGUGGAAUUCCGAGUGUAGAGGUGAAAUUCGUAGAUAUUCGGAAGAACACCAGUGGCGAAGGCGACUAACUGGACAAGUAUUGACGCUGAGGUACGAAAGCGUGGGGAGCAAACAGGAUUAGAUACCCUGGUAGUCCACGCCGUAAACGAUGAUAACUAGUUGUUCGGGCACUUGGUGCCUGAGUGACGCAGCUAACGCAUUAAGUUAUCCGCCUGGGGAGUACGGUCGCAAGAUUAAAACUCAAAGAUAUACGGCGNGNGAGAGCGACGACGACGACGACGGAGGAG